UGGGUUGUAGCUCAGUGGUAGAGCACUUGCUUCACACACAUGAGGCACUGGGUUUGAUCCUCAGCACCACAU
rnacentral:tRNA from 1 species